rnacentral:rRNA from 1 species
GACGAACGUUGGCGGCGCGCUUAACACAUGCAAGUCGAACGGAAAGGCCUGCUUUCCCUUGUGGAUUGCGGGUACUCGAGUGGCGAACGGGUGAGUAACACGUGAGUGAUCUGCCCCCAACUUGGGUAUAAGCCUGGGAAACUGGGCCUAAUUCCCGAUAGGACUGCAGGGUGGUGCCUGUGGUGGAAAACGAUUUUCUAGUGGUUGGGGAUGAGCUCGCGGCCUAUCAGCUUGUUGGUGGGGUAAUGGCCUACCAAGGCGGCGACGGGUAGCCGGCCUGAGAGGGUGGACGGCCACAUUGGGACUGAGAUACGGCCCAGACUCCUACGGGAGGCAGCAGUGGGGAAUAUUGCACAAUGGGCGGAAGCCUGAUGCAGCGACGCCGCGUGGGGGAUGACGGCCUUCGGGUUGUAAACUCCUUUCGACCGCGAGGAAGCCACCUGGUUGGAAGGGUGGUGACGGUAGUGGUAGAAGAAGCACCGGCUAACUACGUG